rnacentral:lncRNA from 1 species
UUUUUUUUUUUUUUUUUUUUUUUUUUUUUUUGGUUUUGAUUUGGCUUAUUAAGGAGUUCGGGCUCUACCUGGUUCUGGCUCUUGCUCCCUGCACUGUUCUGAGAUGGAGCUUAGGACUAAACCCUUUCCGUUGCUACAACUGCACCCCAAGACAGUGCCGGCAGGUGCCUCCAGUAGUCAAAAGGCAAGGCGGUGCUCUGUCUCCCUCCCCUCUUCUUCAUUUCCUUUUCUCCCUUCUUCAUCAGCUGUCUUACAAAAUUAGAAUUUCAUGCUCAUGUCCCGCCCACUCUCAAACCCAAAGCUGUACCUCAAAUUACAAAUUCCUUCUUCCUAUCAACUCAGAGAAAAGUAUGAGAUGACCUAUUUCCUGAGGGACCCUGGAGGAACUAGGUUCAGAAACCAGGUGAUGAAGAGAUUCUCUGAGGAGAAUCUGUAAAACAAGAAACAGCCUUCUGUGACCGACCAGAAAGAGUUCCAUAAACUAGGCUGUAUCAACAACAAGCAUUUGAAAUAAACUAUUUUCCUGUCUUAAAUACUAGUAUUCAAACAUAAUAGCCUUUCAUUGCAAAUGAAUCAAUAUUUAGAACAUUCUUUUUCUAUGGGAAGAAUUAUUUCCAAUUUCAAACAGCCAAGCGACAAACUUGGCAAGGCUGCCUAAACUUCGAAUAUGUUUGAUUGAAAAAGAGUUACUUAAAUUCUUCAGAUAACUCUAAAAUCUUCCCUUUAUUUUGUGAAAUUUUAAUCCACCCAUCAUGAUAUAGGAUAAAUGUAGCUCAAGGAAUAGAGAAGAACAAAAAAUCUUCACUAAAACAUCACAGGAGAAAUUUACACACAACUUCAUAAACUGAAAUGUCUCAGGUUUUAAAUACACACACAACUACUUCCCUCCACCCCUUUUUCUCCCCCGCUUCCCCUGCCACCACCUCUCAUUCUGUUUCUAUCUUAUUUUAAGGGAAGCUAAUAGUAUCCUCUCCUUUCUUAUAAAUUGUUUCCAACAUGUGAAACUGUAGACUUCUUUAAGGGUACUAAUAGAAACCCAAAAUGUUCACUGGAUCAAUCAAAAAAAAAAAAAAAAAAAAAAAAAAAAAAAGGAAGCUGAAAAUUGUUAGAACUUUACAAGUUACAAAUUCCUUAUAGGAGUAGUUAUAUCUUUAUAUUCUAAAUCACAAUUUCAUUUCUGACUUUCCUGGGGGGGACAAAAAAGCUUUAGAAGUCCCAUGUAAUAUUUUACUCUGGUGUUUCCAAAAGCUUGGCCUUCAUACCCCCUUGUUUGAAUCACGUAGAAUAUUUUCUAAAAAUGCAAAUUCCCGAUCCCUCUCCAGAACUAUUAAUGAAUCAGAUAAUCAAGGUCAGAUUGCUCAGCAUUUUGACAAUUUUCCACAAGUGUUUCUUACGACUAGCAAAAUUAACACAAAAUGCAUUUUUUCACUUAUUUAUAUUUAAGACAUUUCCCCAACAGCACCACGCUAACAUUUUAUAAACUUACUAUGUUAAAACAUAUUAGACCUCUUUUGAAUAAAUAUUUUUAUCUUCUAGCAAUAAAAGAUGACUUCUUCCUUUAAUAAUAUGUUUAGUCUGGUUUGUCAUAAUGUACUCAGGCACUUUACCAGGCAGAAUUCAACUGCCACAUCAAAAAACACACUAAAUUAACUUUAACUUUUACCACCAUAUAUUGAAAUUUAAACUAACUAGUUAAAAUAAGUGUUACUGUUAGACAAUGUCAUUAAAAAACAGAAAAAACAUUAGAGCUCUUUGUGAAAACAAAAGCUAUGAAUACACACGUUAAUAGUUUUUAAAAUAAGUUUGUACCACUAUGUCAUCAAAAAAUAUUUUUACCUAAUUGUAUUUCCUCCUCCUCUAUUAACAUUUUCAAAAAAUAAAAUAAAAAGAGAACUUCACUCUCUGAAAAGACCAUAAUUGUUCAUUAGCUUUGUGGAUCUCAGCAGCCCCACACCUGCCUGCAUUAGGUCUUUUUGCACUUUUCAUUUUUUAGGUCACAGAAAUACAGUAAGUAAUGUAAUGAAACCACAGACUUGUCUGUAUUUUCUCAUACAGCCAGGCCCUGACUCAUAAAUAUUUCAUCUAUUGUUGUCUUAACUCUAAAAGAAAUUUGCCUGUAUUUUUCACGCUUUAUUUUGAAACAGCUCUCUUCUGAAAGCAACUCUGACCAUGACUUUGGUAAACGAACACAUACUGCCCGUAAAAAGAACUUUCACAAUACAAUGGCAACCACCUCAACCAAAGAACCAAAAACUUUUUAAGACUCAGAACUAUAAAAUUCAUAUAAUUCUGAACCACGUUAUUUCACAAGGAAAUUCAAUAUUAUAUGAUAGAAGUAUCUUUUCUGAGCCUUAAGAUGUUAACACUUUUCACAUAAGCGCCUUUAGGUCAAAGAAUGCAAGGAAAAUACAAGCUGAGUUCAGAGAAGGAGUUUCAGGGGAAUGGGUAUUAUGGGUUAGUUAGGAAUCAAAAAUCACAAAUUGCUUAUUCAAGAUUUUGAAUAGUGGACGUUCAAAUAGUGUAAAACCUCAGAUACUGCACAGUUCUUGACAACUUUGCCAUUGAUAAAAUGGGGAUAUAGCAGUAUGUCCUAUAAAAGUAGUACGAAAAAUAAAUUAACACAGACAAAUUACUUAGAAAAGUAUCUACUUUAACUGCUCAAUGAAUGUUAGCAACAUUAUAACACAUUGUUAGCUAUAUAUAGUGAUGAUUCAUUUCAAAUGUAUAUAGAUAGAUAAAUAAUACCAUCCAAAGAAUUAAUGACAAGUCAGAGUCCACACUUAUUAAGUUUAGCAAAGGUUCUAAUCUUAACCCUGCUCUCAGUAUUUUCAUAAUUAGAGAUAUAAAAGAGUAUUAAUCAAAAUUAUGGAUGACACAAUUGCUAAUAGAGAAUUAGGAUUUUUUUUAAAUCUUGACAUGCUGAAUAAACUAUAAAAAAAGUUUAACAGAUACACAAAUUCUAUUCUUAGAACAAAGUAUUCAAUUGUAUAUUAAUUGCUACUUACAUGAAAUGAAUUAUAAUUAUAGCAAUAAAGUAACAUGACUAAAAAUAAUUUGCAUUAGGUUAGAGGAAAUUGAGAUGAAUUUUCAUUGUCUUCUAUGUCAGUCAAACUACACUCAUUCUAUGAUAUUUGGCUCUAGAUACACUUUAUAUACAUAUAUAUGUAAAUUUUUUACACCACACCCACAGUAUAUGGAAGUUCCUGGGCCAGGGACUGAAUCUGAGCCACAGCUGUGACCUAUGCUGCAGUGGCUGCAACACCAGAUCCCAUAACGUACUGUGCCAGGCUGUGGAUUGAACCCACAACUCUGCAGAGACAAAGCCACCACUGGAGUCAGAUUCUUAACCCACUGUGCCAUAGUGGCAACUCCUGGAUACAUUUUAAAAGGGAAACUUCAAGGAAGAGAAACAUACUCAGAGAAGAGUGAUCAGAACUGUGAAGGGUAAAAUAAGUUUAUAUAAUACAUAUAAAGUAUAACUGGAGAAACCUGACUUUUUUUAAUCUCAAAAAAGGAAAAGUUUAUUGAGGAUAAAAAUCUUUCAGACAUUUGCGAAAUUAUCUAUAUGAAAUAGUUUGUGCAAAACCAAAGGACAGAGUUAGAAAUAAUGGCUAAUUAACUGAUUCCAAUUCAGUGUAAGGAGAAACUUUCUAUCAAUUACAUUUUUUCAAAUAUUGGUUGUUAAGAUAAGUUCUUCAUUCAUAUAAGUAUUUGAAAGCCACUAGCCAGGACUAAGGAAAUCAGGAUUGCCUCUUUCAUGUACAGAUGUCUUUAAAAAGCUGCUCAUGGAGUUCUCGUCAUGGCUGAGUGGUUAAUGAAUCUGACUAGGAACCAUGAGGUUACGGGUUUGAUCCCUGGCCUCGCUCAGUGGAUUAAGAAUCUGGCGUUACUGUGAGCUGUGGUGUGGAUCACAGACAUGGCUCGGAUCCCGCAUUGCUAGGGGUCUAAUCGGAGCAGCUACACGUCCGAUUAGACCCCUAGCCUGGGAACCUCCAUAUGCUGUGGGAGUGGCCCUGAAAAAGGCAAAAAGACAAAAAAAAAAAAAAAAAAAA